GACGAACGCUGGCGGCGUGCCUAACACAUGCAAGUCGAACGAGGUCCAAGGAAGCUUGCUUCCUGAAGACCUAGUGGCGAACGGGUGAGUAACACGUGAGAAACCUGCCUCGGAGUGGGGAAUAACUCGGGGAAACUCGAGCUAAUACCGCAUACCUUCACAUGAUCGCAUGGUCGAGUGAAGAAAGAAUUUCGCUCUGAGAGGGUCUCGCGGCCUAUCAGCUUGUUGGUGGGGUAACGGCCUACCAAGGCAACGACGGGUAGCUGGUUUGAGAGAAUGAUCAGCCACACUGGGACUGAGACACGGCCCAGACUCCUACGGGAGGCAGCAGUGGGGAAUCUUGCGCAAUGGGCGAAAGCCUGACGCAGCAACGCCGCGUGCGGGAUGACGGCCUUCGUGGUUGUAAACCGCUCUCAGCAGGGACGAAAAUGACGGUACCUGCAGGAAGAAGCCCCGGCGUAACUACGUGCCAGCAGCCGCGGUAAU
rnacentral:rRNA from 1 species